GUUGGGUGUGGUGGUGCAUGCCUGUAGUCCUUGCUACUCAGGAGGCUGGGGCAGGAGGAUGGCUUGAGCCCAGGAGUUUGAGGUUACAGUGAGCUAUGAUCACAUCACUGUUCUCCAACCUGGGCAACAGAGUGAGACUCUGUCUCUU
ensembl:misc_RNA Metazoa_SRP Metazoan signal recognition particle RNA